rnacentral:misc_RNA from 1 species
UCCUGGUUAACCCAGGCAGUCUCAUUAGAGUUCCCACCUUAAAUGUUGGCAACUAAUGAUAAGGGUUGCGCUCGUUGCGGGACUUAACCCAACACCUCACGGCACGAGCUGACGACAGCCAUGCAGCACCUGUGCAGCAGUCCCGAAGGAAAGACUCAUUUCUGAGUCGGUCUACUGCAUGUCAAGCCUGGGUAAGGUUCUUCGCGUUGCAUCGAAUUAAACCACAUGCUCCACUGCUUGUGCGGGUCCCCGUCAAUUCUUUUGAGUUUCAGCCUUGCGACUGUACUCCCCAGGCGGUAUACUUAACGCGUUAGCUCCGGCACAACUGGGGUUGAGUCCAGUUACACCAAGUAUACAUCGUUUACAGCAAGGACUAC